AAGGAGCGAACUUAAGGGAGAACAAGUUAUGGAGGAAGGUCCCUCCUCGGAGAGGCAUUUCCUAUUUUGACAACAGCAACACAACAGCCACAGAAGGAAGGCAAUUUGGGGUGAGUUGGCCUUAUUGUAAAGAUGAAGCUAUGGCAUAAAUGCAGCAUGGAUCCACCAGCCCUGGACAUUACUG